UAGGGAAUCUUCGGCAAUGGGGGGAACCCUGACCGAGCAACGCCGCGUGAGUGAAGAAGGUUUUCGGAUCGUAAAGCUCUGUUGUUAAGGAAGAACGAGUGUGAGAAUGGAAAGUUCAUGCUGUGACGGUACUUAACCAGAAAGGGACGGCUAACUACGUGCCAGCAGCCGCGGUAAUACGUAGGUCCCGAGCGUUGUCCGGAUUUAUUGGGCGUAAAGCGAGCGCAGGCGGUCAAUUAAGUCUGAUGUGAAAGCCCCCGGCUCAACCGGGGAGGGUCAUUGGAAACUGGUUGACUUGAGUGCAGAAGAGGAGAGUGGAAUUCCAUGUGUAACGGUGAAAUGCGUAGAUAUAUGGAGGAACACCAGUGGCGAAGGCGACUCUCUGGUCUGUAACUGACGCUGAGGCUCGAAAGCGUGGGGAGCGAACAGG
rnacentral:rRNA from 1 species